UCGCAACAGAAGACCUUCAGCUCCCGACAUAUUGGAUCUACUGAGCAUCCCACCAUCAUCUGCCCUUGCAGUUUUUGCCAUCCUCCCAGGACACUCUCCUAUUUCACUGAAGACUGUGGUGCCUUCCAGAUGACAGAAUUCCCAACAACCCUUUCCUGUCAUCAUUCCUGGUGACUUUGGUGAUUUUGACAUUUCCAUCAGGAACCCCUUUAUACAAGGGAAUCUAGAAUGUUUACUGUUUCUAAUAUCUGGAUAAAGGUGCUAGGGUUUGGGUCUUGAAUGUAAACCUCUGUGGGUCCAUGUGUUGGAGACCUAUCUCCAGAGUGGUGCUAGUGGAAGGGGGUAGAAUUUUUAGAUGCAGGGUGGGAGGUUUUAAGAUCAUUGAAGGUGUGUCUUCAGAGGCGAUCUCAGGAGCCCUACCACUCAUUCCCUGCCUCCUAAGGUGAGGAGCUGUAUUCCCACCCUGGGGAGCUGUCUAAAGCACUGAGGUGGCUAUGAACACUGCCCAGAACCUCCAAGCCUGACAGUCAAAUACUUUUCUUCUUUGUGUCUCAGGUAUUAACUGCAGUGGCCAAUUGUUGUGGAGGCUCUCUGUUACUGGUAUGGUUACUGUUUCUGUCAAUGUGACUCUGACCAGGAAUACUCUAUUGACUGUUUCUCUGCGGCAUUGAUACAAUGACAGGAACUCCACCUGAGUCUGCCAUCCUUUUGGCUUCUCUAUUAAAGGCUCAGAGCUUUGCCUCCAACUCACCUUCAUCCUCUCUCUCUCUCUCUCUCUCUCUCUCUCUCUCUCUCUCUCCCUCUCUCUCUCUCUCUCUCAGACCUCAUUCAUCCCCAUAGCUGUACACACUUCCAACGCAGACAGCACCACAAACCUUUCACUACGAAGAACUUGUCUGACCCGAGAAGGAGAGAACUCUUGCACUGUGUCUCUCUGAUGGGAGCAUUAGUUUCUGCCAUACCCUUUCCUUUCCGCAGCAGCCCUUGCUCAGUGUGUAAGCUCCACAGAGUUGAGAAGAUGUCUGACGCCCAGCAGGUAUUGGACUCAUGUUUAUGAAAUGAAUAAAUGGGAAGUCCUAUUUGUCUCCUCUCAGAAGCUGAUUUCCUUGAGAGGGUCCUCAGAAUCACAGGGAGAUGUCCCAAGUAAACGACCCAUGAUCAUGGGGGCUAUUACUGAGCAGAGGCAUCAUGGCCCACAGUCCUAUGACUGCACACCAUGGGCCUUCAUGGGGUUGCAGCUCAUUCCAGUGCCAGUUUUGGGGUGCAUGGUGAAGCCACCUAGUUACAACACUCUCUGUGCCCCAGGGCAUUCUGUGAGAAGUGCAGCAGUAGUAAUUACCCCUAACCAAGAGAAGCUAUAGCUUUCGGUCCACCUCCUCAUGGUGCCAGAUACCCUAAAAUAGCAC
rnacentral:lncRNA from 1 species